GGUGGGUUGGACUAGUCGGAGAAACCCAGGUAAUAAAGUGAAGAAUGCCUCACAAAUCCUCCUGCGAGCCUCACGGCCUGUACCCCUCCAGGACACCGGGGAGCUUCUCCUGGGAUCGCACGUGGCUUGUGCUGGAAUUGCCUCUGGGAGGCUCUGCCCACUCAGCCCCAGACCCUCAGCAGAACAGCAAGAAAGCUGCACCUCUACUGCACGGAUCUUCCAAAACCAGAUUUGAUCUCCACCCUGCUUCUGCUAAGAAACAUUCAGUAGCUUGUCACUGCCCAAAGCCCAGGAUCUCUGCUGGGCCUGCAGUCUGGUAAGAAUCAAUCUUUAAGGUCCUUGACAAAGAACAUGAGACUGUCAAGUACUCAAUAUGACAGGGAAUUCAUGUUUCAUGUUAAAAUUAGAGAUAAUUCCAUUUAUUCAGGAAACAUAUCACCAUUCUAGAAAGCUAACUUGCAAUGAAGAUACAGGUGCAAACCACAGCACAGGAAUCUGGGUUUGGGAGUCAUUUCUCACUCUUGGGAGUCUGUGCAUCGGAAGUCAGUUUCACGUGUCUUGAUGAAGAAAAAUGUUGAGGGCUAUGGGCAUAAAAAGCAGCUCCUUUGCACAAGACAUGAUUGUCUUUCCUCCUUGCAUUUGGAAGAGACACUUCACCCUUCUUUGUCCAGAAUAUUCUAUUCAUCUUGCUCGUCCCAAUUCAGAAACUACCUCUGUGAGGCUGUUCUCAUUUCACUCAAGCAAAAUCACUCACUUAUUCCUGAUUUCUUUCUGUUCCUAUAGUAUGAAGUUUUUUUCUCUGUAUUUGUUCAGAACACAUGUCUCUCCACAAAAUCAUGUAUUUUAAACAAUUAUGAGUAGAAUAUUUUUCAUCAUCUUAUUAUUUAUUGUAUCUCUUCAUACAAGUUGAAUAAUGUGUAAUGAAUACAUUUUAAAAUGCUUUUUGUCUUCAAGGAAUAUGAAAUUUGGCAAGGAAAAUAAAACUUAUGAUCUGUAAA
rnacentral:lncRNA from 1 species